CCUCAAGCUCUCCUGAAACCAGUGAGCAGCCGCAGUCAUCUGCUCCUCAGAUGGCAGCUCUUCUGCUGAAUGUGAGCUUCAUCUUCAUCAUCAUCAUCACACUCUCAGUGACUGUGAUGGCUUUCUGCAGGAUCAGAACCAGUAAACACAGAGGUUGAAGUCGACUCCAUCACGUGCACCGACACUGAGGUGGAGUCUAACCUCAGUGACUCACUCCACAGCGCCCCCUAUAGACAUGUGGACACUGUUACUCAGGUACAGAUGAACUGUGUCAGUGAAGAAGCUUCAUGUUCGCUGUUCUCCACUUAUUAAUAAACUUUCUAUCUAUUCAUAUGCAUUUGUUACCUCGAGCCUGAAUUACUGUACUUAUAGAUUUCAAUUGGUCGUCCAUGACUCCUCCAUGUACACACAAGUCAUUCAUGGAGUUCCUCAAGGAUCUGUCCUCGGACCUGGAUGUGUUAUAUAAUGUUGCUCACAGCCAGACACACGCACUAUUAGGCCUCUGCAAACACAGGCAUUAAUACAACACAAAAAAAAACAGCCUUACAGCCAUGAUAUUAUUUUGAAGGAUUUUAAGAAAUACAAUCUAAACAACAGGGCCGAGUGAGCAGAGACUGUGAGUAUACAAAAGUGUGCAGGUGAUGUCUGUGUGCAUAACGAGCAGCAGAAACCUUAUUGCUGCCAUGUGCAAAAACUUUAGGGUUAAUUAUUUUAGCCUAAACAUUGCUUUCAUUUCUUAAACCUACUAAUGAGAUAUUGGUGAGCAAUAUGCAUGGAGCAGAGCCAGUCCAUUCUCAGCUUUAUUUUGUAGACGGCGACUCUGAGAUUCAUUCUCCACGUUUAGCAUCGCUCUGUAUUUAUUCUUUAUGAACGUCAGGACUGAGGAGGUCUUGCACAAGUCCUCCAGCCUUGAUACGUUUUUAUUGUUAUAUAAGUUAAACAUCAAAGCCAAAAUCAGGUAAAGAUUCCUGCCUCCCCAACACUGUUACUAUUUAAUAUUUAUUAGAUGUGAUAUUUACAAUAUAUUUAAUUUUGUCUAUUUGAAAACACCUAAAUAUCUUUCAAUUUAAAGUCACCACGUGUGUGCCUGACUCAGAUUGAUGUUGAAAGACGAUGUGACUGAAUGUGAGAUGAAGACUGAGGUUCACUCUUAAUAACAUGAUUCAGUCGUGAUCUAUAAUAACACUCUAUGAUACAUGUAACUCACGUGAGGGAGAGCGUUCUCCGACAUCCACGCACAACUGGCCUCGUUCAGACUCACAAUGUAACUAGGUAGAUUGUUCCUGUAGCAGGCUCAGAGACAGUUUCAUCCCCCAGGCCAUAAGACUUUUAAACUCCUCUCCGUGACAUAUUUGCAUAUUUGCACUAUUGUUGUUUUAUUUUCUCCUCAGCUGUUUAUAUAUAUUUAGAUAUAUAUACUUUAUUUUCUAUUUAAAUUUUGAUAUUCUAUUUUAUUCUAUUUUAUACUAUUUCUAUUUUAUUUUAUUUUAUAGGUUGUAAUUACUUGAGCAUUGUUAGAAGAGAGCCUGAGACUCAAGCAUUUCACUGCCAGCGACUGCUUCAUGUUAUUGUUUUGCAUUUGACAAUAAAUAUCUUGAAUCUUGAAUCUUGAAUCUUGAAGGUCAAACAUCCGACUCACACAGAAACAC